AGGCAGCAGCACAGAGCUCUUCAGAAUCUGAGAGCUUGAACCAAAGUGAGUCAGAGGAUGCAUCACCAGAGACAAGUGAAGAGCCAGAUUCAGACACAUCUGAGCAGACCAUGGAAUCACAGGACACCUCAGAGAACAUGACAUCUGAGGAGAUGGAAAAUCAGAUGGAAAUGCAGUUCACAGAACACACCAACUCUGAGGGGCACUUGAGAGACA